CAUAGAUGUAACUGUGAACUGGUGGUGGAGGAGAGUGAUAAACUGGGUGUGGAGUGUAGGGAGGAUGAACUGGUGGAGAGUGGUAAACUGGUUUUGGAGUGUAAGGAGGGUGAACUGGUGGUGGAGGGGAUGAGUAUUUGUAUGGCUUCUUUGGUGGUGGUGGAGAGUGGUAGUAGGGCUUAGGGCUGACGUGAUGCACUGGUGGAGGAGGAGAGGAAUAUUUGUAUGGCUUCUUUGGUGGUGGUGGGGAAUGGUAGUAAGGUUUAGGGCUUAACAUGCACUGGUGGUGGAGGAGAAGAAUAUUUGUAUGGUUUCUUUGGGGGUGGUGGAGAAUGGUAGUAAGGUUUAGGGUGGACAUAUGGUGGAGGAGGAGAAGAAUACUUGUAAGGUUUCUUUGGUGGUGGUGGUGGUGAACUGUAAUGGUAGGGAGGAGGAGGUGUAUAAACGGUGGGGGUGGAGAGUGGUAGUAGUAUGGUUUCUUAGGUGGUGAGUACACUGGUGGUGGUGGUGAAGAGUAAUGGUAAGGUGGUUUAACUGGAGGGUACACCCCCGGUGGUGGGGAAUGUGGAGGGUACACCUUAGGUGGUGGUGGAGAACUAUAAUGGUAAGGUGGUGAGACUGGUGGAUACACCUCAGGUGGUGGUGAAUGUGGAGGGUAUUUCUUAGGUGGUGGUGGGGAAGAGUAAUGGUAAGGUGGUUUAACUGGUGGGUACACCUUGGGUGGUGGUGAAUGUGGAGGGUACACCUUAGGAGGUGGUGGUGAAGAGUAAUGGUAAGGUGGUGAAACUGGAGGAUACACCUUAGGUGGUGGUGAAUGAGGAGGAUACUUCUUAGGUGGUGGUGGUGAAGAGUAAUGGUAAGGUGGUGAAACUGGAGGGUACACCUUAGGUGGUGGUGAAUGUGGAGGGUACACCUUAGGUGGUGGUGGUGAAGGGUAGUGGUAAGGUGGGGAAACUGGAGGGUAGACCUUAGAAGGUGGAGGAGGUGAAGAAUACAAGUAGCUGUUUGCUGAAAUUUGAGAUGUAUGGAGAGAGACACUAUUAUGGCUAAUAGAAGAGUCAAAGUGGCAGAGGCCAUUGGAGACCUCAUUUUUUUUUUUUU
rnacentral:lncRNA from 1 species